ACUUCACUUCUCCAGGAGAAAUAUGGUACUACUAUGAAAUAUUUGUUUAAAUCUCAAAUCUGCAGUUUAUUUAUAAAGACAGUGCCUAUUUGAAAAUGUGCUUCGCCGAUUUCGGAGACAUGAGCUCCACGGUGGAACUUGCUUGACUUCACUCGGAUGGCCUCUGUCCAAGGCAAACGGUCUAGAUUCUCCAAGGCAGGGUUCUGCUCUGGGAUGCCAUUGACCUAAAUCACUGGUCCGCUCCAUGAGCCCACUUUUAAGACGCCCACAGCUGGCACAGAUGGCCUAUUUCCAUUAGAGGUGCCAGCUAAUCGUGAGCAAUGCCAGUGCUGAGGAAAAUCAAAGUGGUGGCACUCCUAGGGCACGGGUCAACAGAGGAACAGACUGCUCACACUACAAUGAGAUGUGUGGGAAUACACGAGUGUGUAAGAAUGCGUGUUCAUUCUCUUUGAUUUUGAUACAAGCAGUUAACACUGUUCCCUGGUGAUUUUCAUUUAGAUCAAAAGAGUCUAGCCCAAACAAAACAUCUGCUACAAAAUACCAAAAUCAUUUCCCUUUCCCUCCUCUCGAGCUGGACAUCCUAGCAGAUCCACACACCCAGCUAGUCACAGCUGCACUCUUUGUAUUACUGCUGAUUAUUAUGUUUAAAUAGCUUACUAUGAUUAUUUUUUGGCUUAGAUAGUACAGUCAAAGAGAGACAAUUGGACACACGGAUAAUAAAUGACAACACUGGUCCUUGACCAUUGCAUCUUGUGCAUGAGUGCCAUGCUUUUAAGACAGAGUGUCAAACAAAAUGUUGUUCAGCAUUUAAAAACUCUCUCAAGACAUAUUGUUUUCUAUUUAUCUGCUCCACAUCUCACAUUUUUACAAGCAAAAUGCAUUCUAUGUGAAUUUGAGUAUACUUGUUAGCAGAUUUUCUUACACGGUAAUGGUCUUGGUUUGUUGUUUUGGGCCUUUGCUCACGCCUGAAGCCAUUUUAUUUAUUAUUUUUCCGCGGUGUGUUUCUUUUCACAAACAAGAUCCAAUGCCAUGUUCUGUAGCGUACCUGGUAUGUUUUUAUGUUACGUUUUGGUCUACCGAUGGCCGUUAUUUUCCAGUAUAUGCAUUCCCUGGAAAUCAAACCCAUGACCUCAGCCAUGCUUUGCCAAUGGAUUUACAGGGCUGCCCUUAUGAUAUGAUUAGUAAACUAUUUACACCCUUUAUAAAGUAAGACAGAUGAGUUGCAUGUAGUGUAUAGCAGCAGGAAAAUCUGACCACCCACUCAUCACAUUGUCUAGACAGAAGAUUUGAUCAAAGCUGUCAUAACACUUGAGCUAUGAGGGUGUGGCUGCCAAAACAGAGCAAAAGAGAGAAAUGAAACUAUGGGACAUAAAAAGGAAAGACAAAAAAGAGGAGAGUCGAAAAAUAAGCGACCAUGCAUGACCGAAUCUGAGCUAGGAGAUGACGAUAUUGUUGCACACCCAUAUGUUAAGCAUUCGGUAUAAUGAGUUGUGGUUACAAAUGCUUAUGUAGAGUGUCAGGUUCUAUUUCAGUGCUCUUUUAAAUGUUAACUGAUCAAAUCUGUGUUGCUCAGUAUAUAUAAGCGUAUUAAAAUUCUGUCUGUUCUGUUGAUCUAACAAUGCUGUUUUCUCAGAGUAUAGCCUAGAAAGGCACACCCACCCUCUUUUCUUUUCAUGCCAACCUUCUACAUAAAUCUGCUCCAAGAUA